rnacentral:rRNA from 1 species
UACGUAGGGCGCAAGCGUUGUCCGGAAUUAUUGGGCGUAAAGAGCUCGUAGGUGGCUUGUCACGUCGGGUGUGAAAGCUUGGGGCUUAACUCCAGGUCUGCAUUCGAUACGGGCUGGCUAGAGGUAGGUAGGGGAGAACGGAAUUCCUGGUGUAGCGGUGAAAUGCGAAGAUAUCAGGAGGAACACCGGGGGCGAAGGCGGGUCUCUGGGCCGAUACUGACGCUGAGGAGCGAAAGCGUGGGGAGCGAACAGG